rnacentral:rRNA from 1 species
UACAGAGGGUCUCAAGCGUUGUUCGGAUUCAUUGGGCGUAAAGGGGUGCGUAGGCGGCGCGGUAAGUCGGGUGUGAAAUCUUGGAGCUUAACUCCGAAACUGCAUUCGAUACUGCCGUGCUUGAGGACUGGAGAGGAGACUGGAAUUUACGGUGUAGCGGUGAAAUGCGUAGAUAUCGUAAGGAAGACCAGUGGCGAAGGCGGGUCUCUGGACAGUUCCUGACGCUGAAGCACGAAGGCCCAGGGGAGCAAACGGG